UAGCUACUCCCUUCCUUUGAAAUUACUUGUCGCAGAAAUGGAUGUAUCUAGAUGUAUUUUAGUUCUACAUACAUUCAUUUUCAAGACAAGUAAUUUCGAACGGAGGGAGUACAAG
rnacentral:pre_miRNA from 1 species